rnacentral:lncRNA from 1 species
GCAGCCGGAGUCGUCUUCGGGACGCGCCUGCUCUUCGCCUUUCGCUGCAGUCCGUCGAUUUCUUUCUCCAGGAAGAAAAAUGGCAUCCGUUGCAGUUGAUCCACAACCGGUAUGAAUUUUGAGUAGCCUUUGUCUACUUUCUCUCCUUUUGUGUUUUGAGAGAUUAAUAAGCAUACCCUCCCUACUUUGAUUGCAGAGUGUGGUGACUCGGGUGGUCAACCUGCCCUUGGUGAGCUCCACGUAUGACCUCAUGUCCUCAGCCUAUCUCAGUACAAAGGACCAGUAUCCCUACCUGAAGUCUGUGUGUGAGAUGGCAGAGAACGGUGUGAAGACCAUCACCUCCGUGGCCAUGACCAGUGCUCUGCCCAUCAUCCAGAAGCUAGAGCCGCAAAGUGAGUUCUGAUUUUUCAAGAUGCAAGUCAAGGGACUGGUCAGUGGCGAGCCCCUGAGCUCACAGCAGUAACAUCUGGAACUCCUCAGCCCUUCCUGGGGCAUACACUGCCUUUACCUAGAAACUUUCAGGUGACCCUCAUUACCGUAAGAGGACUGUUUCUUUUCUUUUCUUUCCUUUUUUUUUUUUUUUGAGAUGGAGUCUCACUCUAUCACUCAGGCUGGAGUUCAGUGGCGCAGUCUUGGCUCACUGCAACCUCUGCCUGCUGGGUUCAAGUGAUUCUCCUGCCUCAGCCUCCCGAGUAGCUGGGACUACAGGCUCCCACCACCAUGCCCAGCUAAUUUUUGUAUUUUUAGUAGAGACGCGGUUUCACAAUAUUGGCCAGGCUUAACUCCUGACUUUGUGAUCCACCCACCUCUGCCUCCCAAAGUGCUGGGAUUACAGGCGUGAGCCACCGCGCCUGUCCACAGAAGGCCUGUUUCAUAGCUUUGGCAGAUGUUUAUGAUCCUUUAAUUAAAAAUCCCCCAGAGGAUGGGCACGGUGGCCUGCACCUGUAAUCCUAGCACUUUGGGAGGUCUAGAUGGGAGGAUCGCUUGAGGCCUGGAAUUU